rnacentral:lncRNA from 1 species
AAAUAAUCGCAAUCUUUGUUCUCGUUUUAAUUUUCCCUACUACUCUAGCCGACUCUUCUCUUUCGGGUAUGUAUUCCCCUAAAUUCAUCAUUUCGAUUUAAGGGAAAAAAAGAAAAAAAAACGAUUGAUUUUGCGGUUUGAUCUUAUUUGAUUUAUUUCCUCUCUUUUCAGGUCGUUUUGUGGGGAACGUCACACAGGUAUUAGUGUAUUCAACGAAUUUGGAGCUUUAGGGUGCGUUUGGGAUUGAGGUACUGUAGCUUUUAAGCUACAGAUGCUGUGAAAAAAAAGCUGUAAUUAUGAAAUAAAAGUUAAUAAUAUAUAAUAAAUAUAAAUUUUAAAUAAUAAUUUUAUCAAAAUUAUUAAAGAUAUGUUUACUUUUAUAUUAUACAAGUGAAAAAUUAUAUCAACAUAGCUUAAAAGCUACAGCAGUUAGUGUUUACCAAACACUUUAGUGCUGUAGCUUUUAAGCUACAGCUGCCCAACCUCAAUCCCAAACGCACCCUUAGUUAUAUAUCACCGGCGAUUUUUUUUCCCCCUUCGUGAAAUUUUUAGAUAUUCUUUAACGUAUAUUUUUCUCUAUUUUUAAUUUUAUUUAUUCAUCUGUACUUUUCGGAAUUGACAGGAGUCUCACCCAGAGAACAGAGGCAGCGGCAGCGGCAACUGGACUGCCGGUGCUGGUGGAAGACCGGUCCAAUCAAAUCCUAACACUUUUCAUCACCAUUAAAGUCGCAUUGAGAAUGGAGGCAGCAACUGGGCCGCCCUCCCCGGU